GCAUUGGAUGGUUUUAGGCGGGGUAGGGGUAGGCCGAAGAAGUACUGGGGUGAGGUGAUUAGGCGGGACAUGGAACAGUUACAGCUCACCGAGGACAUGACCCUAGAUAGGAAGGUCUGGAGGGCGCGAAUUACGGCAGAGGAUUAGGGCCAGUUUGGGUCGCUAGUGUAGGGAUUACUUGGUGGGGGUUUUAUUCCUGUUAUGAUUCCGUGUUCCGUGUUCCAUGUUUUAUUACGAAUCUGUGUGCUUUCCUCUGCUUUCCUCUGUUUUAUAUUAC
rnacentral:lncRNA from 1 species